UUUUGCUUCAGGAAUAGGCCUUGGCCAUGUAAAAGUGCUUACAGUGCAGGUAGCUUUUUGAGAUCUACUGCAAUGCAAGCACUUCUUACAUUACCAUGGUGAUUUAAUCAAUGGCUACU
rnacentral:pre_miRNA from 8 species